rnacentral:tRNA from 1 species
AGGGGUGUGGCUGAGUGGUAGAGCAUCUGCCUGGCAACUUUGAGACCCUGAGUUCAAAUCUCAGCAUCAUGA